AGUUCUAUGGUGUAAUGGUUAGCACUCUGGACUCUGAAUCCAGCGAUCCAAGUUCAAAUCUCGGUAGGACCU
rnacentral:tRNA from 1 species